AACGUACGCUGGCGGCACGCCUAACACAUGCAAGUCGAACGAAGUAGCAAUACUUAGUGGCAGACGGGUGAGUAACAUGUGGGUAUCUGCCCUUUGGCCUGGAAUAACACGAGGAAACUUGUGCUAAUACCGGAUAAGUCUUUACGGAGAAAGCUUUAUGCACCAUUGGAUGAGCCCGCACUUGAUUAGUUAGUUGGUAGGGUAAUGGCCUACCAAGACUGUGAUCAAUAGCUGAUUUGAGAGGAUGAUCAGCCACAUUGGGACUGAGACACGGCCCAAACUCCUACGGGAGGCAGCAGUGGGGAAUCUUGCACAAUGGAGGAAACUCUGAUGCAGCGAUGCCGCGUGAGUGAAGAAGGCCCUUGGGUUGUAAAGCUCUUUCGUCGGGGAAGAAAAUGACUGUACCCGAAUAAGAAGGUCCGGCUAACUUCGUGCCAGCAGCCGCGGUAAUACGAAGGGACCUAGCGUAGUUCGGAAUUACUGGGCUUAAAGAGUUCGUAGGUGGUUGAAAAAGUUAGUGGUGAAAUCCCAGAGCUUAACUCUGGAACUGCCAUUAAAACUUUUCAGCUAGAGUAUGAUAGAGGAAAGCAGAAUUUCUAGUGUAGAGGUGAAAUUCGUAGAUAUUAGAAAGAAUACCAAUUGCGAAGGCAGCUUUCUGGAUCAUUACUGA
rnacentral:rRNA from 1 species